UACGAAGGGGGCUAGCGUUGCUCGGAAUCACUGGGCGUAAAGCGCACGUAGGCGGAUCGCUAAGUCAGGGGUGAAAUCCUGGAGCUCAACUCCAGAACUGCCUUUGAUACUGGCGACCUUGAGUCCGGGAGAGGUGAGUGGAACUGCGAGUGUAGAGGUGAAAUUCGUAGAUAUUCGCAAGAACACCAGUGGCGAAGGCGGCUCACUGGCCCGGUACUGACGCUGAGGUGGCGAAAGCGUGGGGAGCAAACAGG
rnacentral:rRNA from 1 species